UAAGUUUGUAACGAUUAUGUGAAACUUCCUUAUAUUCUAGCAACGGAUUUAUGCAUGCCAAUUAAGUGUCGAUCCUUAAUUAACAAAUACAAAUAAAUUAUCAAUCAAAUAGUUAAGCCAAUUGCAUUCACGAUUCAAGAGUUCAUAACUAGAAUUUAUCAAAUUAUAUUGCACACAUAAUCAUGGCUUUGAAAUCACCCUUAACUAAGAGGGGUUUAGCCACUCAUAUUUACAACAAAACGAAAGGAAAUGAAUUUAAACAUUAGAAACAAAAGAAAGAAAACACUUAAACGCUCCAACGAUCCAAGUUGGACAGCAAGCACGUCCAAGCACUUUCCUUCCCUUCCUUUGCUACGGCACAAGGUAUUGGUGAGUGUUUGAAGGUUUGUUUGUAUGGAGGAAUGGAUGUGAAGAUGAAUGGAUGUGUUUGGAUGAAGGUUGUGUUGAAAUGGGAGUGAAUGAUCUAACAAAGUAUGAACUAAAUUUAUGUUACACACACUUCCUUUUAUAGAGGAAGUGCAUGGCAAUGGAGGGGAACAUGGAGUGGUGUAGCAAUUGAGUGCAAUGAUGCAUGAAAUCUGAAAUGAUGGAGGGAACAAGGAAUGGUGUAGCAAUUGAGUGCAAUGAUUCAAUGUAAUGAUGCAUGAAAUCUGAAAUGAUAGAGGGAACAAGGAAUGGUGUAGCAAUUGAGUGCAAUGAGUGGUGUUUGAAAUGAUUCAAAGGUGAAAGUGAAGUGAUGAUGCAAAGCAUGGGGGUAAAAUGAAGUGGUGUUGCAGCUAAGGAACAUGAAUGAUUGUGCACAUGGUAGAGAAAGGAAAUGGAGGUGGAAUGAUGCAACAAAUGAGUCAAUGGAGGGAAUAUGGAUGAUGAUGCACGACAUAGGAAUCCAAAGGGAGUGCAAUGGUGGUGCACAACAAUGAUGGAAAAAUGAAUGGUGGAGUGACACCCCUUUGUGGUUGAGCUCUUUGUCCUUUUUACAUUAAUUCUUCUUUCUCUUUAACACAUUCCUAGCCUCUUUAGUCUUCAAUUUCAUCCAUCCACCUUGCUCCAUGCAUGUGUUAUUCAUUCCAAGCCCAAAACUGCUCCAAAAUGCACCAAAAUGCAUCUUAUUGCUUCGUAAGGCCUAUGGACCUACAAACACACGAAAAUAGCUUAAAAUACAUAAUUAACUAAGAAAUAACAACAUAAAUGUAUGAGAACAAGCUAACUCAGUCGCAUAAAUAUGCUCCUAUCAAAUUCCCCCACAGUUAGCUUUUGCUAGUCCUCGAGCAAAACAAAACAAACGAAACAAACAAAACACAACCUAGACCUUCCAACAUUUGCCUCAGGGAUUUUUAAUGAAACAUGACAUGUUAAAAAUCAUCAUUCCCACAGAUUUUGACAUGUUAAAAAUCAUCAUUCCCACAGUGACCACUUACUAGUUCAGAAUUAACAAAUUAAAACGAUGUUUUGAAUGUAGUAACAUGCCUUAGAGAAUUUGCUCAAUUUCUUACAAGAUACUCUCUAUUUUCACACACAUUUUCUGACUACACACCCUACACUAGUAUAUGUGAGAAGCUUAAUGUAAACACAAAAGACUAGGACUCACAUAUGUUAUAACAAAGAAAGCAAUUUUCUGGAGUUAUUAAACAUGUUUAGAUAUGAUCUCAUGAAUGGAAUGCUACUACUUAGAUGCGAGAACCAGUGACACCAUAUGCUCAUACCAAUUUCGAACUCCACAAAUUAAAACACAUAACACUCAAGAUUGAAGUCAAGGGUUGUAACAGGGCUUGGGGUAAUGGCUAAUAAAGAAAGGAUAGGAAUAACAAACGUUCUUAAAGCGAUAGCAAGCAAAGCAAUGAAAUAGACACUUGGAAUUCACUUUAGAAUGCAGAAUCAACUUUUAAAUACAAAGGGAAGAUUCAUGCAACACUUAGGGCCGAAUUCAAUGUUUUGGACCCUUUUUUAACAAACUUUUUUCUUUUCACUUUUUUUUUCCCUACCCGUGCCUUAUUAAGGACUUUGGCACACACACACACACAAGAAUCACUUCCCCCACACUUGCUUUCUGCAAUACAUUGAUAAAAAAAAGGAGUUCAUUUUAAGUCAUGCUUUACUAUGCUUCAAGAACAAGGGUAUGGAUGGUCCUAAAACUAGGCUAGGUAAGGAUAGUGUGGAUUAACAAAGAACAUAGGCUUAACAAAGCUCAACGGGGUUAAACUUAAACACAUAAUGAAAUAGGGGCACGGCAAUUUGGCUUUGGUGGUCACUACACAACUUCAUCUUGAAUAUGUGUUAUGCAAAUCAAUAGCAUGCUUUGAAUGAAAUAGGCAUGAGUUCUAUUAUUUGGAACUAAAUGAUGAAACGCCUUCUAAGUAGCAACCAAGCAAAGAAUAAUGAGAUCAUGCAACGACUUUAGAAAACAAUGAUGCACAGAUUAUUAACUCUCCAAAUAAACGUUUAGGCUCAAGUCUCACAAGGUUGUAGUGUUCAUUUGAGUUCAUUCAAAGCAUGUUACAAAAAUGAAUUUUUCCUUUAUAAUUGCAUGUGAAUUCAUAAAUUAUAACCACAACCAAGCAUACACCAAAGAGUAAAUCAAAUUUUCAUCCAUGUUUAUAACUCUCUUUAACAAUCAUAAUUAAAAACCAAAUCCUCAUCAUUGUGUUGGAAGGUACCCUAAGACACAAAUAAACACACAAAAACAACUCUUUUUGGGUUUUUUAAAACAAUUUUUCAAAUUUUUAUGAGAUUUUCGGAUUUUUAUGUCAAAACACACUAAAACACUCAAAAACAGUUUAAAAACACUUAAAAACAGUAAGGAACAACACUAGAAGUAAUGGGUGAUAAACUCCUACGAAUUUUAUGCAAAACAACUUGGUUACCCCCCCAACACUUAAAUCAAACAUUGUCCUCAAUGUUUCAAGCACAAACUCACACAAAAACAAGCAAACAAACAAACAACGAAUAAACAUGACAAGUAUAGCAAAGUAAAAACCAGACAGAGUAGAGUUUAAGAACGCAAAUCUGGUUUUGGAGAUGGAUGAUCUUGUUGACGGUGCAUACGGCCUUUGAUAGAAUCCCGGAGGUUGCUGUCUGAAUGCACUUUGUUGUUGGGUUUGUUGAGGCUCCCUCCAUUUGAAAUUUGGAUGAUCUCUCCAACCUGGAUUGUAUGUAUUCGAGAACGGAUCAUUUCUUGGUUGGUUUUGACUCCCAAAACCCACAGCGUUGGCAGAUUCCCACCUUCCGUUCUCGAUCAAUUGAAGGCACUUAUCCGUGAGAUGUCCAUUCAUUGAGCACACGCCACAAGCAGCUACACUUUGUUCUUUUGGUUUUUCAACCACCUGUGAAAGAAAAGUAGUAAGAUUAGCCAUUUGAUUUUGAAGUUCAAAAACAGCACUUACCUCAUUAACUUGUUGCUGUCGUGGGUUGUCUCUUUGACCAACGCCUUCAUAUUGUUAAGCAUUCAAUGCUUGGUUAGCAAUUAAGGUCUUGGCAGCCAUGGGUGUUUUGUCCACCAAAGCUCCUCCCGCUGAGGCGUCUAGCAUUUGGCGUUCAAUUGGUAGAAGCCCUUCGUAGAAAUAUUGAAGAAGAAGCUCCUUCUUCAUCUGGUGCUGUGGACAUGAAGCAACAAGGGUUUUAAAAUGCUCAUAGUAAGUGGGAAAAAAUUCACCUUGGUUUUGCUGAAUGCGACUAAUCCUUUUGCAUAGUAGAAUGACUCGAGAGUUGGAAAAAACUUCUCCAAAAAUGCCCGUUUCAUACUCUCCCAUGAUGUGACAGUUCUGGGGGCUAGCUCAUACAACCAAUCUUUAGCCUUUUCCAAGAGAGAAAAGGGAAAAGCCUUCAUUUUCAGAAUGCUCCCAUCAACAUUCACAGGGGUCAUGCUCGAACAAACAACCUCGAACUCCUUCAAAUGUUUAUUAAGAUCUUCCAUGGACAACCCAUGGAACUUAGGAAUAUGGUGCAAUAAACUGGACUUUAAUUCGAACUCGUCGGUCUUGUUUUGGGCCACUCUUGGAUAUUGAAUGCAUAAAGGCAGAGCAUUGUCCAAUCCCGAAGCGGAAAACUCCUUGAUUGUUUGAUUGUCUACUGCCAUAUCUUGGGACUUCUUCAAAAGUCCUUGUCGUGGCCUCCUCUUGCUCUUCUACUUUGUCUUCUUCAAGAUCUGGUGCAGGUUAAGAUGAUUGGGGUUCUUGUUGAUUCCUUGCUCGUCUCAAAGUUCGUUCAAAAUCGUCGUCAAAGUCAAAGAUGUGCUUAUGAACAGGUUGAGAACUUCGAGUCAUAAACCACCAAAAACAAGAAAACAACUAAAAUCAGCAACUAGGAACAAAAACACAUGAAAAUAAACAAAAAGAAAUAAUAAGGGAUUAGCAAAGUUGCUAAUCCCCGGCAACGACGCCAAAAACUUGAUGCGAAAAUUAUCUUAACACACAAAUUUAACCCUUUUUUUUAUAAUUGUAGUACAAGUAUAAGUAGGGAUCGUUCUGGACCGGGGAUUAGGAGGGCUUGCUAAUAACCUCUAAACUGACUCAAAAACAUAAAACUAAAUUUAAAAACACUUAACAUGACCCACAAAACUCAAGGCAAACUUAAAAUACUCAAAACAGCUUAAAACAACCAAAUAAACUUAAACUAGACACUAGGAAUGACUUUGGACGAAAAUUGGCUUUCACUUGAAUCAAAACACUUAAAAACACAAACUAAAACAGAUUUGAAACACUUUGAAACAAGAAAUUAAAAAGGGGGUUUUGAUUUGGAUGAAGUUGGAACAAAUAAACAAGUAUGAAAAACUAGACAGAUUGUAAGACAAAUUUGAGAAAUAAGAUGAUGGAUGGGAUAGCUAGAGGCUUUUUCUCCACACAUGACAUGUAUGCAAAUAACUUGAUUUCCAGUUACUACUUCAUUGAAUUAUGAACGACAAUGCUCCAAAUUAAUCGUGACAUCACUAGUUAACUUUCAUAUUUCCUUGUUUUAUUGGAUUGGAUGAAAUCAUUCGACAAUCCAAAACAUUCUUCAAAAGUUCCCUACAUGACAUCAUAAUAGAGAUACAAUCAAAGAUCAUUACGUUUAAUGAAAAUCAUAAGCAUUGACAAAGCACUUGCAACUAUGACAUCAUGUCGCUUAUGCUAGGAAUUGAACUUAACGUGAUCGUUUAUAAGUGACCUUCACUACAUGUGAAUAUAAGUUUGUAACGAUUAUGUGAAACUUCCUUAUAUUCUAGCAACGGAUUUAUGCAUGCCAAUUAAGUGUCGACCCUUAAUUAACAAAUACAAAUAAGUUAUCAAUCAAAUAGUUAAGUCAAUUGCAUUCACGAUUCAAGAGUUCAUAACUAGAAUUUAUCAAAUUUUAUUGCACACAUAAUCAUGGCUUUGAAAUCACCCCUAGCCAAGAGGGGUUUAGCCACUCAUAUUUACAACAAAACGAAAGGAAAUGAAUUUAAACAUUAGAAACAAAAGAAAGAAAACACCUAAACGCUCUAACGAUCCAAGUUGGACAGCAAGCACGUCCAAGCACUUUCCUUCCCUUCCUUUGCUACGGCACAAGGUAUUGUUGAGUGUUUGAAGGUUUGUUUGUAUGGAGGAAUGGAUGUGAAGAUGAAUGGAUGUGAAGAUGAAUGGAUGUGUUUGGAUGAAGGUUGUGUUGAAAUGGGAGUGAAUGAUCUAACAAAGUAUGAACUAAAUUUAUGUUACACACACUUCCUUUUAUAGAGGAAAUGCAUGGCAAUGGAGGGGAACAUGGAGUGGUGUAGCAAUUGAGUGCAAUGAUGCAUGAAAUCUAAAAUGAUAGAGGGAACAAGGAAUGGUGUAGCAAUUGAGUGCAAUGAUUCAAUGUAAUGAUGCAUGAAAUCUGAAAUG
rnacentral:lncRNA from 1 species